rnacentral:sRNA from 1 species
AAAUACUAAAUCACACACGUGUCGACACAUUCUCCGGGGUGCCUUUAUAGGUCGGAAGUAUGGGAUACGUGGAGGUCUAAC